AACUGGUAAACUCCACAGAGAACAUGCUGUAAGGAGGGUUGAACUUUAUGGUAAACCUGAUUUUUAAGGCUACAGCCAAGGGAAUCUGAGAGGGAGCUUUGCCUCUUCACUUCCAAGCUUAGAAGGCAUGGACACACAAGGGUUGGGGAUUACUGACCAAAGGCUCCUUGGACUUCAAACUGGACUUGUUGCACUGAAGAUGACUUGCUCUGAUUCCUGGAACCUGGUGAUAGUUGAAAUAGAGUUAGCAUGUUGCUAUAUUCAAUAAGUAUGCUUUCUUUUCUGUUUGUAUUUUUUACAGUCCUCCUUGUAAAUCAGAAUGUGUUACUUUAGUCAUAUUACAAGAUUAUACAUGGAACAUUUGAACCCUUGUCCAUGCAGAUGUCAUCUAUAACAGCAAAAAAAAGAAGAAAAUUCUGGUAAUAAAAAGAUGGUCUCUGUAAUAACCAAGAACGUAAUAGAACAUAAAGCUGGUCACUGCAGAAGUCAUAUCUCACCUCUCUUUUCCCCUGUCAGUGUUCAGAGCCGCUCUCUC